UACGGGGGGAGCAAGCGUUGUUCGGAUUUACUGGGCGUAAAGGGCGCGUAGGCGGUCAGCACAAGUCAGUUGUGAAAUCUCCGGGCUUAACUCGGAAAGGUCAACUGAUACUGUGCGACUAGAGUGCAGAAGGGGCAACUGGAAUUCUCGGUGUAGCGGUGAAAUGCGUAGAUAUCUGGAGGAACACCGGUGGCGAAGGCGGCAUUCUGGACCGAUAUUGACGCUGAGGAGCGAAAGCCAGGGGAGCAAACGGG
rnacentral:rRNA from 1 species